GACGAACGCUGGCGGCGUGCCUAACACAUGCAAGUCGCACGGGGUAGCAAUACCCAGUGGCGAACGGGUGCGUAACACGUGAGGAACAUACCUAUCGGCGGGGGAUAGCCGGCCCAACGGCCGGGUAAUACCGCGUACGCUCUCCGGGGGGCAUCUCCUGGGGAGGAAAGCAGCAAUGCACCGAUAGAGUGCCUCGCGGCCUAUCAGCUAGUUGGUGAGGUAAUGGCUCACCAGGGCGACGAUGGGUAGCUGGUCUGAGAGGAUGAUCAGCCACAUUGGGACUGAGACACGGCCCAGACUCCUACGGGAGGCAGCAGUGGGGAAUCUUGCGCAAUGGGCGAAAGCCUGACGCAGCGACGCCGCGUGUGGGAUGAAGGCCUUCGGGUCGUAAACCACUGUCGCGAGGGACGAAUAAAUUAGACGGUACCUCGAAAGGAAGCACCGGCUAACUCUGUGCCAGCAGCCGCGGUAAUACAGAGGGUGCGAGCGUU
rnacentral:rRNA from 1 species